GCGCCCUUAGCUCAGAUGGAUAGAGCAACGACCUUCUAAGUCGUAGAUCACAGGUUCGAGUCCUGUAGGGCGCG
rfam:Candidatus Riesia pediculicola TSDA, complete genome.